GGGUACGAUCCAUGAACUUGGAUUCUUCUAAUCAUCGUCGGUCAAGAACUUAAUAGAGACGCCUCCGAUCUUAACCAGUCCUUUCCGGGGAACCAAUGUGAUAAUAAUAUCAUCGUCGUCAUCUGCCUCGAUGUCGUCAAGAAGAUCGGUAAGUCCCAAAGUCAGACUGGUUUUGCCGUUACUGUCCUUAUUAUGAGGCACGUUGACGAAACUUCCGGAGAACUCCGACGUCCCAGGUUUAACUGCGUUGUCAGGUGAAUUGACAUAAACGUCAAAUUUCACAAAAUCACCAAAGUUCAACUGGAUUCCUUCGAUGACCACUACUUCCUCCGCAGUUUCCUUCUCGGCCUUGCUUCUUUUCUUGAUCGACCUCUUGACCAGCA
rnacentral:lncRNA from 1 species